rnacentral:rRNA from 1 species
AUUGAACGCUGGCGGCAGGCCUAACACAUGCAAGUCGAGCGGAUGAAGGGAGCUUGCUCCUGGAUUCAGCGGCGGACGGGUGAGUAAUGCCUAGGAAUCUGCCUGGUAGUGGGGGAUAACGUCCGGAAACGGGCGCUAAUACCGCAUCCGUCCUGAGGGAGAAAGUGGGGGAUCUUCGGACCUCACGCUAUCAGAUGAGCCUAGGUCGGAUUAGCUAGUUGGUGGGGUAAAGGCCUACCAAGGCGACGAUCCGUAACUGGUCUGAGAGGAUGAUCAGUCACACUGGAACUGAGACACGGUCCAGACUCCUACGGGAGGCAGCAGUGGGGAAUAUUGGACAAUGGGCGAAAGCCUGAUCCAGCCAUGCCGCGUGUGUGAAGAAGGUCUUCGGAUUGUAAAGCACUUUAAGUUGGGAGGAAGGGCAGUAAGUUAAUACCUUGCGGUUUUGACGUUACCAACAGAAUAAGCACCGGCUAACUUCGUG